GAGAACCGAGAGGCGCCUCCUAGGAGGCGGGUGGGCAAACGGAGACCUACGCCUCGGGGUCUCCCGGUGCCCCGGCUGGGUCCCGCCCGCCGGCGGAGGGGCGCGUCCUCACUCACCGGUUCCGGUGGCGCCGCUCUCCCGGGGCGCCCAGCACAGCGCGAGCAGCAGCCAGAGCGCCCAGAGCGCGGACGUGCCCAUGGUGCCCGCCUGGAUGGUGCCGCCGCCGCCGCCGCCGCCGCCGUUCGCUCCGCACGACAAGUUACCAGUCCUUCCGAAAGGAGGAAGAAGGUGGGGGCGGGGAGGGGAAAGGGGGAGAAGGAGGGGAAGGAGUUGGCGGGGGAAGGGAGCGGGGAAGAAGAGGGCACCCCCUCCCCUACAACUUGCACAGUCUCCUCCCCACCCACCCAGCCACCUCCCCGGGCUGCAGCAGCAGUGCAAGCCGAGCCUGCGGGCAGAAAAUAAUGCAGGCGCUGCAGAGGAGGGGAGGCAAGGGGAGAGGAGGGAAGGGAGAGGGGGUGGGGAGCCGAGAGCAGAAGAGAGCACAGAACGGAGAGGAGCCGGUAGCGGAGCACCCGCACCGGCGGCGGCCGGAGAGCGGGGUGAGCAGCGGGGAGGGGGCCGGAGGGGGCGUGGUCAACGGGAGGCGCGGCGGGCGGGCGGGAGCGCGGCGGCUUCGGCCCUCCUUUCCCUCGACGCGCUCCUCUUGCACGCGCCGGGCAGCCGGGUGCCCGCGCGGGGAGCGUGCGAGUGUGAGCGUGCGUGAGUGACCGCGGUCGUGGUCGUGGCUGCCGCCGCCGCCACCCGGACCGCUCUAGGGGCCCGGCUGCUCCGCGCGUUCGCCUGGGGCUCACGGGGGCCCGGGGCGACCGCUGGUUGGCUCGCGCGCCGCCCUCGCCUCCAAUCCCGGGUGCCUGUCCUAAUUUCCUGAUCCAGGGAACCUGCCGCCGCAGCGGCUGUGCGCUCCCUACAGUCAUUACUGUACCCUCCCGGCAGCCUCCGGCAGAACACGCAGCAGCAGCAGCAGUUAGCGCUGAUGCAACUAUCGUUGCUGUUGCCACCGCCUCCCCACUGACGGGGCGUGCACCUGGGGGGUACUUGCAGUUUCCAGGGGCAACAAGCAUCUCUCUACCACCCUCUCCUGCGCCCCUGAGAGAGGCUGGCUCCAAGCUUGAUAUAGAAGACUAUCAUAUGAACCAGAAAGGGUAACUGAAACCAAAGAAAUGACUCCAGUAUCAAGCUAAAGACAUGCCUUAAAGGAUGAGGAGGAGCAGAAAUCUUACCAGCAAGGCAAGAAAGAAGCCCCUCUGCUUUAGGCCCAGAAGGAAAAGAAGCUUACAGGAGACAAUCAGUCUUACACUCUUCCAUGGUCACAAACAAGAGGUCCCUGGAUCUACAGGUCAUCUUGCCCCUGAAAUGGCCCUGGAAAGCUAUGGCUGAAGAAUGGAGGAAAAGAUGACUUUCUCUGUUUCUUCAGACCAGGCAUCAACUGGGAUGUUGGGAUGUUGAUAAAAGGACAUCUCAUCCUUUGUUUUCUGCCUAUGCUUUCACCAUACCCAUUCCCAUGUCUGGUCAUCACAGCAUCCUUCACAGCCCUUAGCUGAAUCAUGUUGAGUACAGGAUGGUGUGAAUAUCAUGGUUUGAAUGCAACCAUGGUCUGUCAGUGUGGCUUGUUUUUUGCAGCCCACUUAGACUUAAGCCCUCUUAAUUUCAAAAUUACGUUCAUAUGUGCCAAUAAAGUUGUCCCUACAUGAACUGAAAAA
rnacentral:lncRNA from 1 species